CUGACCUCAGGUGAUCCCCCUGCCUCAGCCUCCCAAAGUGUUGGGAUUACAGGUGUGCGCCACUGUGCCUGGCCCCACCAGUAUUUUAACACGUCUCUUCUAUUUGCACUGAAGCCACCAUUGAGGAUAUUCAGAAUUUUGCAGUGGAAUCUGGUUAGAAAACUAACAGAGUACUAAUAAUAUUUAGAAGUAUUAUGUAAUAGAGGAAAGGCUAUUUGGAUCAGAGAGAUCUAGCUAAAAUGUAAGGAAAUUUUAAGCCUGUGGGUAUGUGCUUUAAAAAUUACCUUGAGCAAGUCAUUUAUACUCUCUGUGAGCCUCAAGUGCUCAAUUAAAAUGGAUAGAAUAAUCACCAUCUCCUAGGAUUUGAAUGAGGGGUGCAUGAAAAAGCAUGUGAAACACACAGGCUCAUGUCUGGUGUGCAAUAGCCUUUAUUUAUUUUUGUUUUCUUUCCUUCAAUACAUUUUCCCUUGCUUGCGUCAUCUUAGAAAUUAUGGCUAAAUAUUAGAGCUCUUUGUAUCCUCAGUAAAAAAUGUCAUGGACUUAGAUAACAUUUUACUACAGAGUCGGCUGAGGUUUGUGUUGCUCCUCAAAUCUAGGAAGCACAUUAGUUAGAGGCUGAAUGAUAACGCUCUUUUUUCUGAGCCACAGUGGAAAAAACUGGAGGUUUCCUGUAUCACUCUGAUGGUAGUCUGCUUCCUUCACCAGUGCAAUUCCAUUAUUGCAGUGAAGAAAAUGUACAACGAUACCUGGAUGAAAGGGGACUCCAUGGAAUGUGAAGUUGUUUGAAAUGGUGUGAGUGGCAUGCAUUAAGAUGCCAGGUUUUUAUUUCAAUUCUCUUCCGCUUGCAAACACUUCGGUAACCUGCAAAGAUGCUGGAGCCAGUGGGGGCAGGGAGUCCAGCCAGGAGGUCCAAAUGCCGUUUCCACACCAGGAUUACUAAUGGACAUUGUCAUCUUCAAACCACUGAGCUUCUUUAAUUUUGGGGAGACAACAAAAAUGAAUCAAAACAAUAAUGUAUUUCUAACCUGUGCGAAAAAUGAUGUCAGCCAAACCCGGUGUCCUUGAGCCAGGCUGACCUGCCCAACACUCUAAGGGCAGUUGCCAAAUAGGCACCUAGCAGUGCGUCAGCUCAGUGGGCUCAGUUUUGGAUGCUAAAUUCCUAUUCUACUCUUGUUGCUCCCGGCUUCUGCCAGGACUUGAUCUCACAGUGUCAGCCCUACUUUUGCCUCAUGGAUUUUGUGUUUGAACUUCGUUUUUCCAACUUUGACACUCAGAUGGCCUCCGAACUCAAGCUCUGGCCUCCUUCUUCCUGACUGCUUCGAGUAGACCCAAACCUGUUUUUUGUCCAAGGACAAAAUACCUAUCUGGGCUCUGGUCAUGCUACCUUAGUCACCUAAAUAUCAGCAAUGCUGAUUCCUAACCACCCUGACUAUUGUCACCAGAAGGUGCCCUGAUUAUGUUGGGAAGUCUUGCUCCUUGUCUGGGGCCCAAGGCCCUCUUUUGAAGUUUGAAGACCCAUCUGUAGGUAGGUAGGUAGGUAGGGUCAUCAUUUGCUUAGCAGCCAAACCAAAAUGUUGCAUAUUCCUUGUGGUAGGUAGAAUGAUGAUCCCCCAACAAUCUCCACAUCCCAUGCCUCUGAACCUGUGAGUGUAUCAUGUGACAUGGCAAAGGAGAAUGGAGGUUGCAGAAGGAAUUAAGUUGCUAAUCAAUUGACCUUAUGAUUGAGAAAUUAUUUUGGAUUAUUGAAGCAAGUCUAAUAUAAUUAUUAGGGUCCUUUAAGCUGGAAGAGGGAAGCAGAAGAGGAGGUCAAAGUGAGAGAGAGAUUUGAAGAUGCUCCACUGCUGGCUUUGAAGAUGGGGAAAGGGACCAGAGGGAGGCCUCCAGGAGCUGCAACAAGCAGCGAAAGAUUAUUCCCUAGAGUCUCCAGGGGGACACAGUCCUACUGACGACUUGAUUUAUCCCAGGAUGAUCCAUGUCUGACUUCCUGCCUCUAGAGUUGUAAGACAAUGUAUUUGUAUCCUUCAAAGCGACUAAGUGGGUGGCCAUGUUAUAGCAGUAACAGGAAAUUGAUGUACUCCUCUACAAAGAACUUCUUCCUAUUCAAUAAUGAAUUUUUAUAAAUGAAACAAAAAAUUCAUCUUUGAACAUGGAAGGUUAAAUUGUCACUUAAAAUGGCUGGAUUACUGAAUAUAAAUUGGUUUCUUUCUAGCCAAAAUACUGAUGUUUGGAAACCAGAGAGGAUCAGCUGCUCCUUCUCUUACUGAGAUAGAUGGUCAGUAAGAGGAAGUCUCCUUUGAUUUUAGACAGAAGCUCUGGGAAGGCCCAAUAUCUGUUCUGCCUUGAUCUUGUCUCUGGUCAUCUGAUGGCAAGGAAAGGUGAACGCAGAGCAAGCAGUUGGUCCAGAAGACAGUGUGCCCCAGUGCCUGGGCAGCCUGACCUGUCUGCCACCCCAGGCCUCUAUAGAGCUCAGAAUAGCCCACCCGAAGCUGUCUCCAGACCCCUCUCAGCAGCUUGAGGGAGAGCAAAUGACCACACACACAGAUGUUUGUUCUAAUUCAGAGUGUCCAUGUUCUUCCUGCCAAAGAGUCACCUGCUUUUGGACUUGACCCCUGCAUGUCCUUGGGGGAGAAGUGGUAAUGAUGGGAGAGGCCAGAGGAAAAUCUAAAGGGGGAGCUGACUCGGGAUUCCCAUCCUGCCAGUCACCCAGCAACCUCUGCAGGGUGUGCAAAGCCCUGCUCUGCAUCUCUGCAGGCAAACUCAGGCUGUAAAAUGAAUGCAAGGCAGGUGUGGCAAUGGGGAAAAGAGGGCAAGGGGAGGAAUAACAGUGUAGCUUGAUUAAAAUGUUAACUCUUAACCUUUUAACAAUUCUGACCUGAAAAAUAUUGACAGCUGAUAUGGAUAAGAUACUUUGCAAUUUGUUAUCUCAUUUUAUUCUCCACCUAUUUUAUAGUAAAGCGAACAUUUACAAUGUAUCUUAGUCUAUUCAGACUCCUAUAACAAAUGUACUGUGGACUGGAGGUCCAAAAGAAAAAUGUGUAUUUCUCACAGUUCUGGAGGCCGGGAAGUCCAAGAUCAAGGUACCAGCUGAUUCGGUGCCUUCUUCCUGGUUUCCAUUUGGCCAUCUUCUCACUGUGUCCUCACAUGGUAAAAACAGAUCAAGAGAGCUGUAAGGGCAUGAAUCCUAUUAAUGAGGGCUCCAGGUUCAUGAUCUAAUUACCUUUAAAAAGAGUCAUCUCUACCAACAGAUUAGGGAGCUGCAGAAAAAACAAGCAAAUGGACACACCAAGACACCAACUGGUUUCUGAAGGUUUCAUCUGGUUACAUCAAAGAUGCAGAAGCUACAACUUUGUGCACAUCCUUAGUCAAAUUCUUAAACUGAAAAUUUAGGUGAAAGUGAUUGCUCAAAAUAUAUGGGCAUUUCAGAGACUUUUCAGACAAAUUUCCUGAUAAAAAAA